rnacentral:rRNA from 1 species
UACGAAGGGGGCUAGCGUUGCUCGGAUUCACUGGGCGUAAAGGGUGCGUAGGCGGUCGGGUAAGUCUGAUGUGAAAUCUCACAGCUUAACUGUGAAACUGCAUUGGAUACUAUCCGGCUCGAGGAAUGGAGGGGAGACUGGAAUACUUGGUGUAGCAGUGAAAUGCGUAGAUAUCAAGUGGAACACCAGUGGCGAAGGCGAGUCUCUGGACAUUUCCUGACGCUGAGGCACGAAAGCCAGGGGAGCAAACGGG